GCAAGGGGAGCCCGCCCGGCCGUCCUUGCUGCCCUCCUUUCUGUUUUCUCGGCCCAGGACCGCAGAAAGCUCCCUCCCCGGGUCAGCCCAGCACAGCCAGGUCUAAAUGGUGAAAACAGUGUUAAAUCCACAAACUGCUUUUAAAGCCUUUGCUUUUGAACCAUAAGGCUGAGGUUAAAAAACUGUUAAACCUUCCCCAAGAAUGUGCGCCGACCCCAGCAGAAGUUUAUGGUCCUCCCGGGUGUCCCAGAGCCUAGAAUGAGUCUGGCAGCAGUGACUCUGCUGCAGAAGCUUAAUCCAGUUGAAGGAACUAGGAGCAUUCACGUUGCCACGAACGGCUGCGUCGGCUGCGUCCGGCGGGGCGUGAGCAUGCAGUGGAGCCGUGCUUGGCCGCCAAAAGGACUGAAGCACCGACACCUGCUAUGCCGCAAAUGAACCUUGGGGAUGUGAUGCUCAGUGCAAGAAGCUGGUCACUAAAGGUCCUAUAUUGCAUGACUCCACUCAUACGACGUGGCCAGAAUGGGCAAAUAUUGCAGCUUUGCCUUGCCGGGCUGCGGACGUCAGGGCAGCGGCAGCCGGGAAGAUGAAGGCUUCGAGCGCAGGUGAGCCAGACACCAGCGUCAGCCCCAGGUGUUGCCAGGAGACAUCAGGUGGAGGCCAGUGGGAACACCGGGCUGACUCACGCCCGGGGGCCAGUAGGUUGCAGCGUGAGUCUCCUACCCCUUCAAGGGACACACGUUUGUCACACACCUACUGUGACUGGCACAGCCUCAGGCCCUGAGGACACAGCAGUGACUGGAACAGACGUCCUCCCCACCCCACCCCUCCACCCACAUUCUCAUGCAGAAGGCGGCAGUAAGCAAGGAGCCAGCUCAGCUGUUGCUACCCUUUGGAAGCUUCUCCUGGUCCCACCGUUGGGAAUGCUCCGUGAAUCACAUCAAAUAAAUUUUAUUUUCUAAACAUUAA